UACGUAGGGGGCAAGCGUUGUCCGGAAUCAUUGGGCGUAAAGAGCGUGUAGGCGGCUCGGUAAGUCCGCUGUGAAAGUCCAGGGCUCAACCCUGGAAUGCCGGUGGAAACUGUCGAGCUAGGGUCCGGAAGAGGCGAGUGGAAUUCCUGGUGUAGCGGUGAAAUGCGCAGAUAUCGGGAAGAACACCCGUGGCGAAGGCGGCUCUCUGGGACGGUACUGACGCUGAGACGCGAAAGCGUGGGGAGCGAACAGG
rnacentral:rRNA from 1 species